GGUUAAGCGACUAAGCGUACACGGUGGAUGCCCUGGCAGUCAGAGGCGAUGAAGGACGUGCUAAUCUGCGAAAAGCGCCGGCGAGGUGAUAUGAACCUUUGACCCGGCGAUGUCCGAAUGGGGAAACCCAGUGCAAUUCGUUGCACUAUCGUUAACUGAAUACAUAGGUUAACGAGGCGAACCGGGGGAACUGAAACAUCUAAGUACCCCGAGGAAAAGAAAUCAACCGAGAUUCCCCCAGUAGCGGCGAGCGAACGGGGAGCAGCCCAGAGUCUGAAUCAGCUUGUGUGUUAGUGGAAGCGUCUGGAAAGUCGCACGGUACAGGGUGACAGUCCCGUACACGAAAAUGCACAGGUUGUGAACUCGAAGAGUAGGGCGGGACACGUGGUAUCCUGUCUGAAUAUGGGGGGACCAUCCUCCAAGGCUAAAUACUCCUGACUGACCGAUAGUGAACCAGUACCGUGAGGGAAAGGCGAAAAGAACCCCGGCGAGGGGAGUGAAAAAGAACCUGAAACCGUGUACGUACAAGCAGUGGGAGCACCUUCGUGGUGUGACUGCGUACCUUUUGUAUAAUGGGUCAGCGACUUAUAUUCUGUAGCAAGGUUAACCGUAUAGGGGAGCCGAAGGGAAACCGAGUCUUAACUGGGCGUUAAGUUGCAGGGUAUAGACCCGAAACCCGGUGAUCUAGCCAUGGGCAGGUUGAAGGUUGGGUAACACUAACUGGAGGACCGAACCGACUAAUGUUGAAAAAUUAGCGGAUGACUUGUGGCUGGGGGUGAAAGGCCAAUCAAACCGGGAGAUAGCUGGUUCUCCCCGAAAGCUAUUUAGGUAGCGCCUCGUGAACUCAUCUUCGGGGGUAGAGCACUGUUUCGGCUAGGGGGCCAUCCCGGCUUACCAACCCGAUGCAAACUACGAAUACCGAAGAAUGUUAUCACGGGAGACACACGGCGGGUGCUAACGUCCGUCGUGAAGAGGGAAACAACCCAGACCGCCAGCUAAGGUCCCAAAGUCAUGGUUAAGUGGGAAACGAUGUGGGAAGGCACAGACAGCCAGGAUGUUGGCUUAGAAGCAGCCAUCAUUUAAAGAAAGCGUAAUAGCUCACUGGUCGAGUCGGCCUGCGCGGAAGAUGUAACGGGGCUAAACCAUGCACCGAAGCUGCGGCAGCGACACUUAUGUGUUGUUGGGUAGGGGAGCGUUCUGUAAGCCGUUGAAGGUGUGCUGUGAGGCAUGCUGGAGGUAUCAGAAGUGCGAAUGCUGACAUAAGUAACGAUAAAGCGGGUGAAAAGCCCGCUCGCCGGAAGACCAAGGGUUCCUGUCCAACGUUAAUCGGGGCAGGGUGAGUCGACCCCUAAGGCGAGGCCGAAAGGCGUAGUCGAUGGGAAACAGGUUAAUAUUCCUGUACUUGGUGUUACUGCGAAGGGGGGACGGAGAAGGCUAUGUUAGCCGGGCGACGGUUGUCCCGGUUUAAGCAUGUAGGCGGAGGUUCCAGGUAAAUCCGGUACCUUAUUAACGCUGAGGUGUGAUGACGAGGCACUACGGUGCUGAAGUAACAAAUGCCCUGCUUCCAGGAAAAGCCUCUAAGCAUCAGGUAACAUCAAAUCGUACCCCAAACCGACACAGGUGGUCAGGUAGAGAAUACCAAGGCGCUUGAGAGAACUCGGGUGAAGGAACUAGGCAAAAUGGUGCCGUAACUUCGGGAGAAGGCACGCUGAUAUGUAGGUGAAGCCCCUGCGGGUGGAGCUGAAAUCAGUCGAAGAUACCAGCUGGCUGCAACUGUUUAUUAAAAACACAGCACUGUGCAAACACGAAAGUGGACGUAUACGGUGUGACGCCUGCCCGGUGCCGGAAGGUUAAUUGAUGGGGUUAGCGGCAACGCGAAGCUCUUGAUCGAAGCCCCGGUAAACGGCGGCCGUAACUAUAACGGUCCUAAGGUAGCGAAAUUCCUUGUCGGGUAAGUUCCGACCUGCACGAAUGGCGUAAUGAUGGCCAGGCUGUCUCCACCCGAGACUCAGUGAAAUUGAACUCGCUGUGAAGAUGCAGUGUACCCGCGGCAAGACGGAAAGACCCCGUGAACCUUUACUAUAGCUUGACACUGAACACUGGUCCUUGAUGUGUAGGAUAGGUGGGAGGCUUUGAAGUGUGGACGCCAGUCUGCAUGGAGCCGUCCUUGAAAUACCACCCUUUAAUGGCUGGUGUUCUAACGUAGACCCGUAAUCCGGGUUGCGGACAGUGUCUGGUGGGUAGUUUGACUGGGGCGGUCUCCUCCCAAAGAGUAACGGAGGAGCACGAAGGUUAGCUAAUCCUGGUCGGACAUCAGGAGGUUAGUGCAAUGGCAUAAGCUAGCUUGACUGCGAGAGUGACGGCUCGAGCAGGUGCGAAAGCAGGUCAUAGUGAUCCGGUGGUUCUGAAUGGAAGGGCCAUCGCUCAACGGAUAAAAGGUACUCCGGGGAUAACAGGCUGAUACCGCCCAAGAGUUCAUAUCGACGGCGGUGUUUGGCACCUCGAUGUCGGCUCAUCACAUCCUGGGGCUGAAGUAGGUCCCAAGGGUAUGGCUGUUCGCCAUUUAAAGUGGUACGCGAGCUGGGUUUAGAACGUCGUGAGACAGUUCGGUCCCUAUCUGCCGUGGGCGCUGGAGAAUUGAGGGGGGCUGCUCCUAGUACGAGAGGACCGGAGUGGACGCAUCACUGGUGUUCGGGUUGUCAUGCCAAUGGCACUGCCCGGUAGCUAAAUGCGGAAAAGAUAAGUGCUGAAAGCAUCUAAGCACGAAACUUGCCCCGAGAUGAGUUCUCCCUGAGACUUUAAGUCUCCUGAAGGAACGUUGAAGACGACGACGUUGAUAGGUCGGGUGUGUAAGCGCAGCGAUGCGUUGAGCUAACCGAUACUAAUGAACCGUGAGGCUUAACCUU
rnacentral:rRNA from 1 species